AGCGUAUACGGUGGAUGCCUUGGCAGUUAGAGGCGAUGAAGGACGUGUAAGUCUGCGAAAAGCUGUGGUGAGUUGACAAAACGCAUUUGAGCCACAGAUGUCCGAAUGGGGAAACCCACCGCUUCGGCGGUAUCUGCAACUGAAUACAUAGGUUGUAGAGGCAAACGAGGGGAACUGAAACAUCUAAGUACCCUUAGGAAAAGAAAUCAAUUGAGAUUCCCCUAGUAGCGGCGAGCGAACGGGGAGCAGCCGAAUCUAUUUGAAUUAGCAGAAUGAGUUGGGAAGCUCAACGAUACAGGGUGAUAGUCCCGUAUGCGAAGGUUCAAGUAGGUCAUAUUAAGUAGGUCGGGACACGUGUUAUCUUGACUGAAGAUGGGGGGACCAUCCUCCAAGGCUAAAUACUCCUAACUGACCGAUAGUGAAGUAGUACCGUGAGGGAAAGGCGAAAAGAACCCCUGUGAGGGGAGUGAAAUAGAACCUGAAACCGUAUACGUACAAGCAGUGGGAGCCCUUCGGGGUGACUGCGUACCUUUUGUAUAAUGGGUCAGCGACUUAUAUUUAGUAGCAAGGUUAACCGUCUAGGGGAGCCGUAGCGAAAGCGAGUGUUAACUGCGCGUUUAGUUGCUAGGUAUAGACCCGAAACCCGGUGAUCUAGCCAUGGGCAGGUUGAAGGUUGAGUAACAUCAACUGGAGGACCGAACCCACUAACGUUGAAAAGUUAGGGGAUGACUUGUGGCUGGGGGUGAAAGGCCAAUCAAACCGGGAGAUAGCUGGUUCUCCCCGAAAUCUAUUUAGGUAGAGCCUCGGACGAAUUCCAUUGGGGGUAGAGCACUGUUAAGGCUAGGGGGUCAUCCCGACUUACCAACCCUUUGCAAACUCCGAAUACCAAUGAGAACUAUCCGGGAGACACACGGCGGGUGCUAACGUCCGUCGUGGAGAGGGAAACAACCCAGACCGCCAGCUAAGGUCCCAAAAUAUUGCUAAGUGGGAAACGAUGUGGGAAGGCUAAGACAGCUAGGAGGUUGGCUUAGAAGCAGCCACCCUUUAAAGAAAGCGUAAUAGCUCACUAGUCGAGUCGGCCUGCGCGGAAGAUGUAACGGGGCUAAGCAAUAUACCGAAGCUGCGGCAGCAAGUUUACUUGCUGGGUAGGGGAGCGUUGUGUAAGUGGAUGAAGGUGAACUGAGAAGUUUGCUGGACAUAUCACAAGUGCGAAUGCUGACAUGAGUAACGAUAAUGGGGGUGAAAAACCCCCACGCCGGAAGACCAAGGUUUCCUGUCCCAUGCUAAUCAGGGCAGGGUAAGUCGGCCCCUAAGGCGAGGCAGAAAUGCGUAGUCGAUGGGAAACGGGUUAAUAUUCCCGUACUUAUAUAAUCAGUGAUGGGGGGACGGAGAAGGCUAGGCCAUCGUGGCGUUGGUUGUCCACGUGAAAGUGCGUAGGCUGAGAACUUAGGUAAAUCCGGGUUCUUAAGGCCGAGACACGAGACGAGUCACUACGGUGAUGAAGUGGUUGAUGCCCUGCUUCCAGGAAAAGCCUCUAAACUUAUGAUUAUAUGAACCGUACCCCAAACCGACACAGGUGGUCAGGUAGAGAAUACUAAGGCNGCCGGAAGACCAAGGUUUCCUGUCCCAUGCUAAUCAGGGCAGGGUAAGUCGGCCCCUAAGGCGAGGCAGAAAUGCGUAGUCGAUGGGAAACGGGUUAAUAUUCCCGUACUUAUAUAAUCAGUGAUGGGGGGACGGAGAAGGCUAGGCCAUCGUGGCGUUGGUUGUCCACGUGAAAGUGCGUAGGCUGGAAACUUAGGUAAAUCCGGGUUUCUAAGGCCGAGACACGAGACGAGUCACUACGGUGAUGAAGUGGUUGAUGCCCUGCUUCCAGGAAAAGCCUCUAAACUUAUGAUUAUAUGAACCGUACCCCAAACCGACACAGGUGGUCAGGUAGAGAAUACUAAGGCGCUUGAGAGAACUCGGGUGAAGGAACUCGGCAAAAUAGUACCGUAACUUCGGGAGAAGGUACGCCCCUGUUUGUGAAGGAUUUACUCCGUAAGCAGAUGGGGGUCGCAGUGACCAGGUGGCUGGGACUGUUUAUUAAAAACACAGCACUGUGCUAAAUCGAAAGAUGACGUAUACGGUGUGACACCUGCCCGGUGCCGGAAGGUUAAUUGAUGGGGUUAGCGUAAGCGAAGCUCUUGAUCGAAGCCCCGGUAAACGGCGGCCGUAACUAUAACGGUCCUAAGGUAGCGAAAUUCCUUGUCGGGUAAGUUCCGACCUGCACGAAUGGUGUAACCAUGGCCACGCUGUCUCCACCCGAGACUCAGUGAAAUUGAAAUUGCUGUGAAGAUGCAGUGUACCCGCACCUAGACGGAAAGACCCCGUGAACCUUUACUACAGCUUGGCACUGAACAUUGACCCUACAUGUGUAGGAUAGGUGGGAGGCUUUGAAGCGUUGUCGCCAGAUGACGUGGAGCCGUCCUUGAAAUACCACCCUUGUAUGUUUGAUGUUCUAACAUUGGCCCCUUAUCGGGGUUGUGGACAGUGUCUGGUGGGUAGUUUGACUGGGGCGGUCUCCUCCCAAAUAGUAACGGAGGAGCACGAAGGUUAGCUAAUCACGGUCGGACAUCGUGAGGUUAGUGCAAUGGCAUAAGCUAGCUUAACUGCGAGACAGACACGUCGAGCAGGUACGAAAGUAGGUCAUAGUGAUCCGGUGGUUCUGAAUGGAAGGGCCAUCGCUCAACGGAUAAAAGGUACUCCGGGGAUAACAGGCUGAUACCGCCCAAGAGUUCAUAUCGACGGCGGUGUUUGGCACCUCGAUGUCGGCUCAUCACAUCCUGGGGCUGAAGUCGGUCCCAAGGGUAUGGCUGUUCGCCAUUUAAAGUGGUACGCGAGCUGGGUUUAGAACGUCGUGAGACAGUUCGGUCCCUAUCUGGUGUGGGCGUUGGAUGAUUGAGGGGAGCUGCUCCUAGUACGAGAGGACCGGAGUGGACGAACCGCUGGUGUUCGGGUUGUUUUGCCAAAGGCAUUGCCCGGUAGCUACGUUCGGAACGGAUAACCGCUGAAAGCAUCUAAGCGGGAAGCCGGCCCCAAGAUGAGUCAUCCCUGGACGUAAGUCCUGGAAGGGUUGU
rnacentral:rRNA from 1 species